GCCCCCGUAGCUCAGCGGAUAGAGCAGGUGCCUUCUAAGCACUUGGCCGCAGGUUCGAGUCCUGCCGGGGGCGC
rnacentral:tRNA from 6 species